UACGUAGGGCGCAAGCGUUAUCCGGAAUUACUGGGCGUAAAGAGCGCGCAGGCGGUCGUUCAAGUCGCGUGUGAAAGCCCCCGGCUCAACUGGGGAGGGUCACGCGAUACUGAUCGACUCGAAGGCAGGAGAGGGAAGUGGAAUUCCCGGUGUAGUGGUGAAAUGCGUAGAUAUCGGGAGGAACACCAGUGGCGAAGGCGACUUCCUGGCCUGUUCUUGACGCUGAGGCGCGAAAGCUAGGGGAGCAAACGGA
rnacentral:rRNA from 1 species